rnacentral:rRNA from 1 species
UACGGAGGGUGCAAGCGUUAAUCGGAAUUACUGGGCGUAAAGCGCACGUAGGCGGUUUGUUAAGUCAGAUGUGAAAUCCCCGGGCUCAACCUGGGAACUGCAUCUGAUACUGGCAAGCUUGAGUCUCGUAGAGGGGGGUAGAAUUCCAGGUGUAGCGGUGAAAUGCGUAGAGAUCUGGAGGAAUACCGAUGGCGAAGGCAGCCCCUUGGGAUAAUACUGACGCUGAGGUACGAAAGCGUGGGGAGCAAACAGG